CUUCUUUUCCCAUCGGUAAAAUUAGGGGUUAGUUCAGAAUGCCAUUGUCACUUUCAAUUGUAAUUAAUUAAUCAAUCAAUUCAACGGUAUCUGAUAGCCACUGUGGAAUACCCUGGGAAACAAGAAGAAAGGAGAAGAAGGAGGAGAAGGAAAAGAAGAAGAAAUAUCUUCUCCCCUUGAGAAGCAACUAGUCUGGCUUGAAGUCCCUGCUUUUUCUAAAUGAGGCAGCGCCUGGAAAGUCAUCAGGGAUGGCAGAAUUCUUCCUGAGGGAUCUAGGGUGGACAAGCAUCUCUGGACCACACUGGAGACAAGAUGGGCAGAGACAAGCAUGUGACACUGGGCAAAAUAUUAGCAGACGGUGACCAGAGAAGAACCCAGUCUCAGCACAAAUGCAGGAAGGAGAGAUUGGCCAAAGUCAACGGGCACUGCAAGAACCUGUGGAUUCAUCUCCUUUGAUGGGGAUCAAAGAAGGAAGAAAUGGCUCCUGGAAGCUCACAGCAGUGUCGUGGUCUUGACUAGAAAAGAUUGCAGAUCACACCCAUACAACGAUGUUCCUCCAAACAUGCUGCCAUUGGUGAGACUUGGACCAAGCAACAUUGGACCAAGCAGCCCUUGUCCUCACAUCCAAAGGCAGUGGGUGGCCUAUCAGCAA
rnacentral:lncRNA from 1 species